GAUGAACGCUGGCGGCGUGCCUAAUACAUGCAAGUCGAGCGAACAGACGAGGAGCUUGCUCCUCUGACGUUAGCGGCGGACGGGUGAGUAACACGUGGAUAACCUACCUAUAAGACUGGGAUAACUUCGGGAAACCGGAGCUAAUACCGGAUAAUAUAUUGAACCGCAUGGUUCAAUAGUGAAAGACGGUUUUGCUGUCACUUAUAGAUGGAUCCGCGCCGCAUUAGCUAGUUGGUAAGGUAACGGCUUACCAAGGCGACGAUGCGUAGCCGACCUGAGAGGGUGAUCGGCCACACUGGAGCUGAGACACGGUCCAGACUCCUACGGGAGGCAGCAGUAGGGAAUCUUCCGCAAUGGGCGAAAGCCUGACGGAGCAACGCCGCGUGAGUGAUGAAGGUCUUCGGAUCGUAAAACUCUGUUAUUAGGGAAGAACAAAUGUGUAAGUAACUAUGCACGUCUUGACGGUACCUAAUCAGAAAGCCACGGCUAACUACGUG
rnacentral:rRNA from 1 species